rnacentral:rRNA from 1 species
GACGAACGCUGGCGGCGUGCUUAACACAUGCCAGUCGAACGGAAAGGCCCUGCUUGCAGGGUACUCGAGUGGCGAACGGGUGAGUAACACGUGGGUGAUCUGCCCUGCACUUCGGGAUAAGCCUGGGAAACUGGGUCUAAUACCGGAUAGGAGCCAUUUUUAGUGUGAUGGUUGGAAAGUUUUUUCGGUGUAGGAUGAGCUCGCGGCCUAUCAGCUUGUUGGUGGGGUAAUGGCCUACCAAGGCGGCGACGGGUAGCCGGCCUGAGAGGGUGGACGGCCACAUUGGGACUGAGAUACGGCCCAGACUCCUACGGGAGGCAGCAGUGGGGAAGAUUGCACAAUGGGCGCAAGCCUGAUGCAGCGACGCCGCGUGGGGGAUGACGGCCUUCGGGUUGUAAACUCCUUUCGCUAGGGACGAAGCUUUUUGUGACGGUACCUAGAUAAGAAGCACCGGCUAACUACGUG